UACGUAGGGUGCAAGCGUUGUCCGGAAUUAUUGGGCGUAAAGAGCUCGUAGGCGGUUUGUCGCGUCUGCUGUGAAAACUCGGGGCUCAACUCCGAGCUUGCAGUGGGUACGGGCAGACUAGAGUGCGGUAGGGGAGACUGGAAUUCCUGGUGUAGCGGUGGAAUGCGCAGAUAUCAGGAGGAACACCGGUGGCGAAGGCAGAUCUCUGGGCCGUAACUGACGCUGAGGAGCGAAAGCGUGGGGAGCGAACAGG
rnacentral:rRNA from 1 species